UACGGAGGGGGCUAGCGUUGUUCGGAAUUACUGGGCGUAAAGCGCACGUAGGCGGCGUGUAUAGUUAGGGGUGAAAGGCCUGGGCUCAACCUAGGAACUGCCUCUAAUACUGACAUGCUAGAAUUCGGGAGAGGGUAGCGGAAUUCCAAGUGUAGAGGUGAAAUUCGUAGAUAUUUGGAAGAACACCAGUGGCGAAGGCGGCUACCUGGACCGAUAUUGACGCUGAGGUGCGAAAGCGUGGGGAGCGAACAGG
rnacentral:rRNA from 1 species